rnacentral:rRNA from 1 species
UUAAGGAAAUAAGAGCGUAUGGUGGAUGCCUUGGCACUAGGAGCCGAUGAAGGACGUGACGAACUACGAAAAGCUACGGGGAGUUGUAAGUAAGCAGAGAUCCGUAGGUAUCCGAAUGGGGAAACCCGGCAACAGAAGGUUGUCACACAUUUAUGUGGGGGAACGCAGUGAACUGAAACAUCUUAGUAGCUGCAGGAAAAGAAAACAACAGUGAUUUCUAGAGUAGCGGCGAGCGAAAUAGAAGGAGCCCAUUUACCUAAGAGUUACAAAACCUUAUUAUAGUAGAACUGUAUUGGAAAAGCAGACCAAAGAGGGUGAAAGUCCCGUAAACGAAAUAGUAAGGACUCGGGUAAAGAAGAGUACGGCGAGGCACGUGGAACCUUGUCGGAACAAGGGAGGACCAUCUCCCAAGGCUAAAUACUACCUAGUGACCGAUAGUGAACCAGUACCGUGAGGGAAAGGUGAAAAGAACCCUGGGAAGGGAGUGAAAUAGAACUUGAAACCAUAUGCUUACAACAAGUUAGAGCCCGUUAAUGGGUGAUAGCGUGCCUUUUGUAGAAUGAACCGGCGAGUUAUGAUGACGUGCAAGGUUAAGCUUUAAGGAGUGGAGCCGAAGCGAAAGCGAGUCUUAAUAGGGCGAUAAGUAGGUUGUUGUAGACCCGAAACCGUGCGAGCUAGGCAUGAGCAGGUUGAAGUUGCGGUAACACGCAAUGGAGGACCGAACCGUAGUCCGUUGAAAAGGGCCCGGAUGACUUGUGUCUAGGGGAGAAAUUCCAAUCGAGCUCGGAGAUAGCUGGUUCUCACCGAAAUAGCUUUAGGGCUAGCGUCGACGUAAAGUGUGUUGGGGGUAAAGCACUGAAUGUAUAAUGGCCUCAUCUAGGGGUACUGAAUACAAUUAAACUCUGAAUACCAACAUAUAUAGUCGGCAGUCAGACUACGGGUGAUAAGGUCCGUGGUCAAAAGGGAAACAGCCCAGACCGCCAGUUAAGGUCCCGAAAUUUAUGCUAAGUGGGAAAGGAAGUGGAUCCGUCUAGACAUCUAGGAGGUUGGCUCAGAAGCAGCCAUCCUUAAAAGAGUGCGUAACAGCUCACUAGUCGAAUAGAUCUGCGCCGAAGAUGUACCGGGGCUAAGCAUAAUACCGAAACUGCGGAAUUUAUACUUUUUAGUAUGGAUUGGUAGGUGAGCGUUCUAACAGCGUAGAAGGUAGACCGUGAGGACUAUUGGAGUGGUUAGAAGUGAGAAUGCCGGUAUGAGUAACGAAAAGAUGGGUGAGAAUCCCAUCCGUCAAAAGUCCAAGGUUUCCAGGGGAAGGUUCGUCCGCCCUGGGUUAGUCUGGGCCUAAGGUGAGGCUGAAGAGCGUAGCCGAUGGAUAAUAGGUUAAUAUUCCUAUACUACUUAAUGCACAGAAGGAGUGACGGAGAAAGAUAACCGGAGCAGACUGGAGGAAUAGUCUGUUUAAGGUAACGAGGGAGAGAUGUAGGUAAAUCCGCAUUUCACAUAUCCUGAGUACUGACGACGAAAGUCUGGUGAAUCUCAGCUUCCAAGAAAAGCUUCUAUGGUUAAUGUAUUAAGUACCAGUACCGUAAACCGACACAGGUGGACGAGCAGAGAAUGUAAAGACGCGCGAGAUAACCCUUGUUAAGGAACUCGGCAAAAUGACCCCGUAAGUUCGCGAGAAGGGGAACUUUAAGCAAUUAAAGUCGCAGAGAAACGACCCAAGCAACUGUUUACCAAAAACACAGGUUUCUGCUAAAUCGUAAGAUGAAGUAUAGGAGCUGACACCUGCCCAGUGCUGGAAGGUUAAGAGGAGAUGUUAGAGUAAUCGAAGCAUUGAAUUGAAGCCCCAGUGAACGGCGGCCGUAACUAUAACGGUCCUAAGGUAGCGAAAUUCCUUGACAGGUAAGUUCUGUCCCGCACGAAUGGUGUAAUGACUUGGGUACUGUCUCAACAAG